rnacentral:rRNA from 1 species
AUACGGAGGGUGCGAGCGUUGUUCGGAAUUAUUGGGCGUAAAGAGCAUGUAGGCGGUCUGUUAAGUCUGGUGUGAAAGCCCGGGGCUCAACCCCGGAAGUGCAUUGGAUACUGGCAGACUUGAGUAUGGGAGAGGAUAGCGGAAUUCCGAGUGUAGGAGUGAAAUCCGUAGAUAUUCGGAGGAACACCAGUGGCGAAGGCGGCUUUCUGGACCAAUACUGACGCUGAGAUGCGAAAGCGUGGGGAGCGAACAGGAUUAGAAACCCGGGUAGUCC